rnacentral:rRNA from 1 species
CCUACGGGGGGCAGCAGUGAGGAAUAUUGGUCAAUGGGAGAGAUCCUGAACCAGCCAAGCCGCGUGAGGGAAGACGGCCCUAUGGAUUGUAAACCUCUUUUGUCGGGGAGCAAAAGACGCCACGCGUGGCGUUCCAAGAGCACCCGAAGAAAAAGCAUCGGCUAACUCCGUGCCAGCAGCCGCGGUAAUACGGAGGAUGCGAGCGUUAUCCGGCUUUAUUGGGUUUAAAGGGUGCGCAGGCGGACGAUCAAGUCAGCGGUAAAAUUGAGAGGCUCAACCUCUUCGAGCCG